rnacentral:rRNA from 1 species
AACGAACGCUGGCGGCAGGCCUAACACAUGCAAGUCGAACGCACCGCAAGGUGAGUGGCGCACGGGUGAGUAACACGUGGGAAUGUACCCUUUGGUUCGGAAUAACGUUUGGAAACGAACGCUAAUACCGGAUGAGCCCUGCGGGGGAAAGAUUUAUCGCCAAAGGAGCAGCCCGCGUCUGAUUAGCUAGUUGGUGGGGUAAAGGCCUACCAAGGCGACGAUCAGUAGCUGGUCUGAGAGGAUGAUCAGCCACACUGGGACUGAGACACGGCCCAGACUCCUACGGGAGGCAGCAGUGGGGAAUAUUGGACAAUGGGCGC